AGACUUUGAUUCUGGCUCAGGACGAACGCUGGCGGCGUGCCUAAUACAUGCAAGUCGAACGCUUCUUUCCUCCCGAGUGCUUGCACUCAAUUGGAAAGAGGAGUGGCGGACGGGUGAGUAACACGUGGGUAACCUACCCAUCAGAGGGGGAUAACACUUGGAAACAGGUGCUAAUACCGCAUAACAGUUUAUGCCGCAUGGCAUAAGAGUGAAAGGCGCUUUCGGGUGUCGCUGAUGGAUGGACCCGCGGUGCAUUAGCUAGUUGGUGAGGUAACGGCUCACCAAGGCCACGAUGCAUAGCCGACCUGAGAGGGUGAUCGGCCACACUGGGACUGAGACACGGCCCAGACUCCUACGGGAGGCAGCAGUAGGGAAUCUUCGGCAAUGGACGGAAGUCUGACCGAGCAACGCUGCGUGAGUGAAGAAGGUUUUCGGAUCGUAAAACUCUGUUGUUAGAGAAGAACAAGGACGUUAGUAACUGAACGUCCCCUGACGGUAUCUAACCAGAAAGCCACGGCUAACUACGUGCCAGCAGCCGCGGUAAUACGUAGGUGGCAAGCGUUGUCCGGAUUUAUUGGGCGUAAAGCGAGCGCAGGCGGUUUCUUAAGUCUGAUGUGAAAGCCCCCGGCUCAACCGGGGAGGGUCAUUGGAAACUGGGAGACUUGAGUGCAGAAGAGGAGAGUGGAAUUCCAUGUGUAGCGGUGAAAUGCGUAGAUAUAUGGAGGAACACCAGUGGCGAAGGCGGCUCUCUGGUCUGUAACUGACGCUGAGGCUCGAAAGCGUGGGGAGCAAACAGGAUUAGAUACCCUGGUAGUCCACGCCGUAAACGAUGAGUGCUAAGUGUUGGAGGGUUUCCGCCCUUCAGUGCUGCAGCAAACGCAUUAAGCACUCCGCCUGGGGAGUACGACCGCAAGGUUGAAACUCAAAGGAAUUGACGGGGGCCCGCACAAGCGGUGGAGCAUGUGGUUUAAUUCGAAGCAACGCGAAGAACCUUACCAGGUCUUGACAUCCUUUGACCACUCUAGAGAUAGAGCUUUCCCUUCGGGGACAAAGUGACAGGUGGUGCAUGGUUGUCGUCAGCUCGUGUCGUGAGAUGUUGGGUUAAGUCCCGCAACGAGCGCAACCCUUAUUGUUAGUUGCCAUCAUUUAGUUGGGCACUCUAGCGAGACUGCCGGUGACAAACCGGAGGAAGGUGGGGAUGACGUCAAAUCAUCAUGCCCCUUAUGACCUGGGCUACACACGUGCUACAAUGGGAAGUACAACGAGUCGCUAGACCGCGAGGUCAUGCAAAUCUCUUAAAGCUUCUCUCAGUUCGGAUUGCAGGCUGCAACUCGCCUGCAUGAAGCCGGAAUCGCUAGUAAUCGCGGAUCAGCACGCCGCGGUGAAUACGUUCCCGGGCCUUGUACACACCGCCCGUCACACCACGAGAGUUUGUAACACCCGAAGUCGGUGAGGUAACCUUUUUGGAGCCAGCCGCCUAAGGUGGGAUAGAUGAUUGGGGUGAAGUCGUAACAAGCUAGCCGUA
rnacentral:rRNA from 1 species